AUAACUUUGCAACGAGUACUUUUUCUCAUUCUAUCGAACAAAGAGUAAAACCUAAAUUAUUGUUCUAUUAUCCCCGGGAGAGUGGUAAAUUUGAACGAAUCAAUGUCAGUGUUACAAGAACAAAUCCGAUCAGAUUAGACAACUCAGUUGCGCAAUAACAGUUGUAACUUGCAGCGAGUACUUUUUAUCAUCUAUCGAACAAAGCGUAAAAACUAAUUAUUAAUUGUUCUAUCAUGCCUAGAGAGUGUAAAUUUGGAACGAAUCGAUGUCAACGUUCACAAGAACAAAAACCGGAACAACAUUAGACAACUCAGUUGCGCCCUAACAGUAUAACUUUGAAACGAGUACUUUUUCUCAUUCUAUCAAACAAAAGGUAAAACCUAAUUAUAUAGUUCAAUUAUGUCCCGAGAGUGUAAAUUUGGAAUGAAUCGAUGUCAACGUUCACAAGAACCAAAACCGGAACAAAAUUAGACAACUCAGUUGUGCCCGAACAGUAUAACUUUGAAACGAGUACUUUUUCUCAUUCUAUCGAACAAAGAGUAAAACCUAAUUAUUUUGUUCUAUUAUGCUCCGAGAGUGUAAAUUUGGAAUGAAUCGAUGUCAACGUUCACAAGAACCAAAACCAGAACAACAUUUGAAUACUCAGUUGCGCCCUAAUAGUAUAACUUUGCAACGAGUACUUUUUCUCAUUCUAUCGAACAAAGAGUAAACCUAAUUAUAUUCUUCUAUUAUGCCCAGAGAGUGUAAAUUUGGAACGAAUCUAUGUCAACGUUCACAAGAACCAAAACCGGAACAACAUUAGGCUAAUCAGUUAGGCCCCAACAGUAUAACUUUGAAACGAGUACUUUUUCUCAUUCUAUUGAACAAAGUGUAAAACCUAAUUAUAUUGUUCUAUCAUGCCCAGAGAGUGUAAAUUUGGAACGAAUCGAUGUCAACGUUCACAAAACAAAAACCGUAACAACAUUAGACUACUCAGUUGCGCCCUAGCAGUAUAACUUUGAAACGAGUACUUUUUCUAAUUCUAUCGAACAAAGAGUAAAACCUAAUUAUAUAGUUCCAUUAUGCUCCGAGAGUGUAAAUUUGGAAUGAAUCGAUGUCAACGUUCACAAGAACCAAAACCGGAACAACAUUACAAUACUUAGUUGCACCCUAAUAGUAUAACAUUGCAACGAGUACUUUUUCUCAUUCUAUCGAACAAAGAGUAAAACCUAAUUAUAUUCUACUAUUAUGCCCAGAGAGUGUAAAUUUGGAACGAAUCUAUGUCAACGUUCACAAAAACCAAAACCGGAACAACAUUAGACUACUCAGUUGCGCCCUAACAGUAUAACUUUGCAACUAGUACUUUUUCUCAUUCUAUCGAACAAAGAGUAAAACCUAAUUAUAUUGUUCUAUCAUGCCUAGAGAGUGUAAUUUUGGAACGAAUCGAUGUCAACGUUCACAAGAACAAAAACCGGAACAACAUUAGACAACUCAGUUGCGCCCUAACAGUAUAACUUUGAAACGAGUACUUUUUCUCAUUCUAUCGAACAAAGNNNNNNNNNNNNNNNNNNNNNNNNNGAGUUGAACUUGAGGCAGCGCAGAUGGUUGGAGCUACUCAAGGAUUAUGACUUGACUAUUCUUUACCACCCGGGCAAGGCUAACGUGGUGGCGGAUGCGCUAAGUCGGAAAUCGACGCAGAACUUAGCGAUGCUUGUGGUUACUCAACCGCCGUUGAUCGAGCAGAUGAAGCGGUUGGAGUUGGAGGUGGUGGCUCCUGACACACCUUUGAGGCUGAUGACUUUGGUGGUGCAACCUAUCCUUUUGGAAAGGAUUAAAGAAAAGCAAGCUUCCGACUUGGAUUUGCAAAAGAUUCG
rnacentral:lncRNA from 1 species